GGCAAACAGCGCAGGUCCGCUUCCCGUCUGUGGAAGCUUUGUUCUUUCGCUCUUGACAAUAAAUCUUAAUGCUGCUCUCUCUUUGGGUCCAUGCCAUCUUUAAGAGCUGUGACACUUACAGCCAAGGUCCGGGGCUCCAUUCUUGAAGUCAGCGAGACCACGAAUCCACCGGAAGGAGCAAACUCUGGACAUGGCAUGUGCUUUUGCAGGAAGGACGCUGGACUCUUGCACUAUAAGUUGAAAACAUCGCUUAUAAACAAUACAUCACAGCACACUUGCAGAGAGAGCACUGGUUCAUCAAAAUAAGAUAUGAUCAAGGUACAAAAGAGUUAAAGAAGCUAUUUAUUUUAAUGUUUCCUUGGAGAGCACACUUGUUAUUAUGCCUGCCCCAGCUUUGCCUUCCACCAUGAGUAAAAGCUUCCCAAGUCCUCCCCAGAAGCAGAUGCUGGCGCUAUGCUUCUGGUACAGCCUGAAAAACCUUGAGCCAAUUAAACCUCAGUGAGCUCAAGAUGUCUUUGUUGAAACAGAACCUCCCGAAGUUACAGUAUUGGUUUUGGGGCUCCACACAGAGAACACAUCACGGAAGCUAUAAUUGAGGAAGACAAAGCUGUCAGGACGACACCAAGAGAGUUAGAAAGCCCAAGAGUGGAGCAUUCUUCACCAUGAUUCCACCUGACACUUGGCUGAAAGCAUUUUGCACUAAUUUGCUUUGUGCCCGUUCAGACAAUCUAAAAAGAAAGGAUGGGGGGACAACAAGUGUCUAUUACACAGAAUAAACAGCCUCUGGCAAAUGAAUACA
rnacentral:lncRNA from 1 species